rnacentral:lncRNA from 1 species
CCCCUGCACUUGCGCCCCACCAGCGCCACUCCAUCAGCCGCUGUACGCACCUAGCCCUAAAGGUACCUGAGUCAUCAGCCUGUCCGCUCCGGUGUUUUCUUCAUCCUUAAAUAUGAUGUCGGGGUUGUAAUUGGGGGUGAGUUCCUUAAAUCGCUCGGAGUUUCUGGAGAUCUUCCCUUCAUACCUUCCGCUGGCGCCUAGGGUCUUCUCGGCCACAUUGGGGAUAAACUGCUUGUAGGCUAAAGGGGUCAGCUUUUUGGGGUGCCUCCUCUUCCCGAACCCCCUGCCCGGUCCGCACGCCAGUCCCGAGCAUACCAGCAGCGAGGAG